rnacentral:tmRNA from 1 species
GGGGCUGAUUCUGGAUUCGACGGGAUUUGCGAAACCCAAGGUGCAUGCCGAGGGGCGGUUGGCCUCGUAAAAAGCCGCAAAAAAUAGUCGCAAACGACGAAAACUACGCUUUAGCAGCUUAAUAACCUGCUUAGAGCCCUCUCUCCCUAGCCUCCGCUCUUAGGACGGGGAUCAAGAGAGGUCAAACCCAAAAGAGAUCGCGUGGAAGCCCUGCCUAGGGUUGAAGCGUUAAAACUUAAUCAGGCUAGUUUGUUAGUAGCGUGUCCGUCCGCAGCUGGCAAGCGAAUGUAAAGACUGACUAAGCAUGUAGUACCGAGGAUGUAGGAAUUUCGGACGCGGGUUCAACUCCCGCCAGCUCCACCA